rnacentral:rRNA from 1 species
GAUGAACGCUGGCGGCGUGCCUAAUACAUGCAAGUCGAGCGAACAGACGAGGAGCUUGCUCCUCUGACGUUAGCGGCGGACGGGUGAGUAACACGUGGAUAACCUACCUAUAAGACUGGGAUAACUUCGGGAAACCGGAGCUAAUACCGGAUAAUAUAUUGAACCGCAUGGUUCAAUAGUGAAAGACGGUUUUGCUGUCACUUAUAGAUGGAUCCGCGCCGCAUUAGCUAGUUGGUAAGGUAACGGCUUACCAAGGCAACGAUGCGUAGCCGACCUGAGAGGGUGAUCGGCCACACUGGAACUGAGACACGGUCCAGACUCCUGCGGGAGGCAGCAGUAGGGAAUCUUCCGCAAUGGGCGAAAGCCUGACGGAGCAACGCCGCGUGAGUGAUGAAGGUCUUCGGAUCGUAAAACUCUGUUAUUAGGGAAGAACAAAUGUGUAAGUAACUAUGCACGUCGUGACGGUACCUAAUCAGAAAGCCACGGCUAACUACGUG